rnacentral:rRNA from 1 species
AGUGGCAGACGGGUGAGCAACAUGUAGGUAUCUGCCCUUUGGCCUGGAAUAACACGAGGAAACUUGUGCUAAUACCGGAUAAGUCUAUACAGAGAAAGCUUUAUGCACCAUUGGAUGAGCCUGCACUUGAUUAGUUUGUUGGUGGGGUAAUGGCCUACCAAGACUUUGAUCAAUAGCUGAUUUGAGAGGAUGAUCAGCCACAUUGGGACUGAGACACGGCCCAAACUCCUACGGGAGGCAGCAGUGGGGAAUCUUGCACAAUGGAGGAAACUCUGAUGCAGCGAUGCCGCGUGAGUGAAGAAGGCCUUUGGGUUGUAAAGCUCUUUCGUCGGGGAAGAAAAUGACUGUACCCGAAUAAGAAGGUCCGGCUAACUUCGUGCCAGCAGCCGCGGUAAUACGAAGGGACCUAGCGUAGUUCGGAAUUACUGGGCUUAAAGAGUUCGUAGGUGGUUGAAAAAGUUGGUGGUGAAAUCCCAGAGCUUAACUCUGGAACUGCCAUCAAAACUUUUCAGCUAGAGUUUGAUAGAGGAAAGCAGAAUUUCUAGUGUAGAGGUGAAAUUCGUAGAUAUUAGAAAGAAUACCAAUUGCGAAGGCAGCUUUCUGGAUCAUUACUGACACUGAGGAACGAAAGCAUGGGUAGCGAAGAGGAUUAGAUACCCUCGUAGUCCAUGCCGUAAACGAUGUGUGUUAGACGUUGGAAAUUUAUUUUCAGUGUCGCAGCGGAAGCGAUAAACACACCGCCUGGGGAGUAC